rnacentral:lncRNA from 1 species
CCGUUGCAUGUCCGUUAAGCGUCCGUUUUAUCCGUUGCAUGUCCGUUAAGCGUCCGUUUUAUCCGUCGACGUCCGUUCUGUCCGGUGGAAAAUUUUGAGCAUGUUCAAAACUUUGAACGGACGUCUAACGGAUAAAAUGUCCGUUGAACGUCCGUUAGACGUCCGUUAGGCGUCCGUUUUGUACGGUACUCGUCCGUUUCGUUUCCGUUUUGUAUCCGUUACGUGUCCGUUAUACAUCCGUUGGAGGUCUGGCAGAUAAAUUCACCAACGGACUUCUAACGGACGUCUAACGGAUAAAACGGAUGAGAAACGGACUUCUAACGGACGUAUAACGGACAUAACGGAUGAUGAACGGAUCUGAAACGGAUAAAAUUGAUGCCAAUUGAAAAUUUCUCGUCAGAAAUGCCAAAAAUAUUUCUUAAGGUUCAUGAAUUCUUAUUAUUCAUAAUCGAUCUUAGAGUAAGGGCACAUCUUCACAAUCAAUCAGCUGUUAAACUUAUUCAGGUCAGACACUACCCUUUAGCGGCAUUUUGAAGAACAAACAAAAACCAGUUACACAGAACUUUGACAAAUAGAUUUGCUUUCAUUAUAUUGCAUGUUUUUUCAGUUUUGUUUGGUAGGAUUUGCAUGAUUUUUUAUGUGAUAGUCGGUUAAAAAGUUCAUCAGAGCUCAUGUUUUGUCUGUUAUUAUGUAUAUAUAUGCCGACUCGAAAUAAAAUCAACUUACUUAAUUACUUAACUAGAACAUUUUCAAUAUUAAUGCGAUUGACAUGUAUUAUUAUUGUCGCCUUUAAUUUUUUCGUAUAUCUUGUUUAUCCGUUUUAUCCGGUACGCUUCCGUUAGGUGUCCGUUUUAUGCGGUACUCGUCCGUUGGAUGUACGUUCGACAUCCGUUCUGUCCGUUACGUCUCCGUUUCUCGUCCGUUGCAUAUCCGUUGCAUGUCCGUUAUGCAUUCGUUAGGCGUCCGUUUUAGUUGGUCAGUACAUCAACGGACGCCCAACGGAUAACAAUUUUGUCAACGGACAACUUUUAUUUUCAUCCGUUAGGCGUCCGUUCG